CAUACAGACACACACUCCCACAGCCUCCCUCUCGAUUCAUUCUGAAGCAUCAGACCUGUGUAUGUGUUUGUGUAUGUGUGUGUAUUAGGAGCUUAUGGGUGUAUGUCUGUUUGGUGUGUGUGUGUGUGUGUGUCUGUGUGUGUGUGUGUGUGUGUCUGUGUGUGUGUGUGUGUGUGUGUGUGUGUGUGUGUGUGUGUGUGUGUGUGUGUGUGUGUGUGUGUGUGUGUGUGUGUGUGUGUGUGUGUGUAUGUGUGUAAGGAGCUUGUGUUGGAGGGGCUUCCAGUGGGUAGAGCCCGGCCCGACGUCGGGGCACUUAAAAUAUUUAGCUGUCUAGAGCGCAUGUUAAUGUGAGAGGCGGUGGCGAGGCGGGGACCAGCCACGAGUGUCACUCGCUGAGCCCUCGCAUAUUCCUCUCUCCCCUUUCUUCUUUCUUUCUUUAUUUCUUUCUCCUGCUUGAUGUCUGGGAGAUAGAGAGAGAGAGAGAGAGAGAGAGAGAGAGAGAGAGAGAGAGAGACAUAGGUGGAGUGACAGAAAGAGAUGGAGAGAUAUGAUGAAAUAGAUUAGAGGGGCAGUAAAGUGUGAUACUGUGGGAAAGAAUGAGAGAGCGGUAGAAAGAGGGAUAAUGAUGGAAAGGGAGAUAGAAAGAGUGAUAAAAUAAAGAAAUAAUGAGAAUUUGCCAGUGAGGGAGUGAAAAAGGCCAGAUUUGCCAGCAGUUUGACUGGCCGAGAGACAAAGACCCAAAAAGAGAGAGGGACAGAGUGUGAGAUGGAGAGAGGGACAGAUUGAGAGAGUGACAGAGAGGGAGAUUAAGAGAUGGAGAGAGUGAGAGAUGGAGGGAGGGACAGCUUGAACGAUGGAAAGAAUGAGAGAUGGAUGGAGGGAGAUAAUGAGAGAUGGAGGGAAAGACUGAGUGAGAGCUGGAUGGAGGGACAGAGUGAGAGAAUGACAAAAUGAGAGAUGGAGGGAGAGACAGAGUGAGAGAUAGAGAGAGAAACAUAGUAAGAAAUGGAGAAAGUGAGUGAUGGAUGGAGAGACAGAGUGAGAGAUGGAGAUGGGACAGCGUGAGAGAUGGAGAAAGUGAGAUAUGGUGGGAGGGACAGAGUGAGAGAGGGAGAAAGUGAGAGAUGGAGAGAGGGACAGAGUGAGAGAUGGAGAAAGUGAGAUAUGGUGGGAGGGACAGAGGGACAGAGUGAGAGAUGGAGAAAGUGAGAGAUGGAGAGAGGGACAGAGUGAGAGAUGGACAGAGUGAGAGACGGAGAGCCAUGGAGACCCACAAAAAAACACAGAGUGAGGGACGGAGAAAGGGACAUAGUGGGAAAUGGAGAGAGUGAGUGAUGGAGGGAGAGACAGUGAGUGAGUGAGAGAGGGACAGAGAUGAAGCAGGCGCUGGCCACAGAGAGAUGGUUUCACUAGAGGGGAGCAUGCCAUCUUGCCGCGGCCGCUGGCUGGUUUGCGGCGGCGGCGGCGGCGGCAGACACGUGGAUCAUAAAUACCGUCUAGACACAACGCUGCUCGAAACGCUCCACAUCGCCCACCUUCCUGCCCCCCCGACACUCAGCAGCACUCCACUCCUCUGUUCUGCUCACCACCCCCCCCUCUCUCCUCCCCUCCUCCUCUCCCCCAGCCACCGCUCGUCCCCCUUUCCUCCUCCUCGCCGCUUCGUCAUUCUGUGUUUUCA
ensembl:lncRNA